AAAGCACUCCCUCCGUCCCAAAAUUCUUGUCUUAGAUUUGUCUAGAUACAGAUGUAUCAAGUCACAUUUUAGUAUUAGAUACAUCUGUAUCUAGACAAAUAUAAGACAAGAAAUUUGGGACAGAGGGAGUAGUUG
rnacentral:pre_miRNA from 1 species